GGGUGCCUACUGUGGACCAUGCACUUUGCUGCACAUUCUGAAUGUGGGUGCGUUUCUACCCUCUCAAUGCAUCCGUGAAGGAGGUGGAGCGCGCCCAUUUUCCGGAUGAGCACAGAGGCUUGGAGAGAUUCCAUUACUUGUGACUACGAAGUCACAAAGCUGCAAGUAGCAGAUUCAGUCUCCUGACUCACGGCCAGUGCUUCCUCUGUGUCAUGACAACUCACGGGAGAAUCCAUCACUUGGGUGGCCUCGGUCAGAGCUGUGGUGGUUCCAGCUGGCUUCUCUUCUGGUCUUGCCACUGUCACCUGUCCCCACGGGGCUCCUCCACUCCUUUGAGAGGCACGUUUCCAGGAAGCAUCGGAUGGAGCCCCUCUUAGGCUCUGGCCACCCGGCCUUUGAGAGCCCAUCUCGGGACUCUGAGGGACAGGCGGGAAGAGGCACCCCACGUGGUAAUUGCUGGAGGAUUUUUGCCACACACAGGCUCUUGUUUGUACGGAGUGUGGGAUGCCACAGGGUAAACUGAGGACUUGUGGCUUCUGGCCAGACAUGUCAGUAACUGUUGGAGGAGAGCUCUUCCCUCCCCGACUCUGAGGAGGGACAUCCAAGUUCACCUGGCAAAGACAGAAACAGAAUUGAAACACAUGUCUUCUACAAGGAGUUCCGGGCCCUCCUCUGCCACCGCUUCGCCUUGAAGGGUUUCGAGGAACUUCUGAGGGUUGAAAUGAGUGGGGA
rnacentral:lncRNA from 12 species